GUAAACUAACACACUGGGAUAAAUUUUGAAAAUUCAAAGAGUACACCAGCACAGCUUUUUAGAGGAGCUGUCAAAUAUGAAUGUUCUACGAUGAGGCCACAAGCCUGAGUGAUCACAACUAGGUGUGUUUCUGGUUCUUUCUUCAAAAUCAAAUGAAUCUGAAGAAUAAUAUUUAAGCAGUUUGUUUGGAAUAAAAACAAAUCCAUUCCAACCCAUGUGUCUUUUUGAAAUAAUUCUUUGGUCGAGGCAAACAAGCUCAGCUAUGCAAAAGCUUGUUUCAGUAUCAAUGGUUGAUGGGCUUAGCCCCCAAUAAUAGAAGCAGGAGCUGCACCCCUGGUUGCCUCGACAUAUAAGGCAUAGUCACUAUAGGUCAUAGUAAAUAUUGUGCUCUGAUAACGAGUUAAUUGUAUAGAAUUCCGAAGUGACUCAAAGAUAUGGCCACUGUAACCCGCUUUACGCAUCAGUGAGUCAAUUGCUUCCACUUUUGUCCAACCUUCAUGGGCAGCUACCUCAGGCAAAUAUGUGGCACUUCGCCUUAUAUUGUUAUUAGGAUCAAUAAACUCAAUAAUUAAACCAUGCUUUCCAAUCUCCCAAUCAAGAUAAUUGUUAGCAGUUUCAUAAUCAGUCAGAACAGAAACUGUACAUUCUAGAGAAGGCAAUUCUUUAGGCUGUAUUGGAGGAAAUCUGCGGUCCUUCAAAGCACUGGUUAAAGCAUAGUCCCUAAACCCAUUAAUCAAGCACUGAGCUUCUAGUGUUCCAAUGCAUCCACGUAAACGAGG
rnacentral:misc_RNA from 1 species